CGGACGGGUGAGUAACACGUGGAUAACCUACCUAUAAGACUGGGAUAACUUCGGGAAACCGGAGCUAAUACCGGAUAAUAUAUUGAACCGCAUGGUUCAAUAGUGAAAGACGGUUUUGCUGUCACUUAUAGAUGGAUCCGCGCCGCAUUAGCUAGUUGGUAAGGUAACGGCUUACCAAGGCAACGAUGCGUGGCCGACCUGAGAGGGUGAUCGGCCACACUGGAACUGAGACACGGUCCAG
rnacentral:rRNA from 1 species